CAACUGCAUGGCUCUUGUUGAUAUGUACAUCUUUGGCUUCACAUUGCAUAUUGAAAUGUAAACACUAGUGAAAAUGCACGUGUUGAGCCGAAAUACAGUACUUUGCAGUGGAGCGAAAAGCGACAGUGUGGUUCCAGUAUUUUGUUAGUUAGCGGGCUGUGGCGAAUAGUACAAAAUAUUUCUGCUUCAUAUGUCUCUCAUUUCCAUCCCUUUUUGUCUUUGUGACAGUCAUUUAAGUGUGGAAUUUUGAAAAACAAAAAAUGUUUGUACUUGCCGAAAUGAAGCAUGUCAUACGAAUUCCACCACAUGAUUUUAAGAAGAGGCUUAAUGAUGCUAUUUCAGAAGAGCUGAACAAGAAGUUGGCGAACAAAGUUGUUUUAAAUGUCGGUUUGUGCAUUGCACUGUUUGACAUAACUCGUUUAGAAGAUUCUUACAUAUUCCCUGGUGAUGGCGCAGCACACACCAAAGUAAACUUCCGUUAUGUUGUAUUCAGGCCAUUCAUGGAAGAAAUACUCAUAGGUAAAAUUAAAAGCUGUAGCCCAGAAGGCGUUCAAGUUACACUUGGGUUUUUUGAUGAUAUAAUUAUUCCACCAGCAUCGUUACAGCAUCCGUCAAGGUUUGACGAAACAGAACAAGCCUGGGUUUGGAAGUAUGACACUGAUGGUGACACACACGAUUUGUUUAUGGAUCCAGGAGAGACAAUAAGAUUUCGUGUUACUGCUGAGAGCUUUGUGGAAACAUCACCUGUUGGUCCUGAGAAUCCAGAUGUAAAAGAUGCUGUCGAUACUACAGAAGAGCCAAAAGUUCCAUACAAACUGACGGGUAGCAUCAAUGAACCAGGUCUUGGUCUUUUGUCUUGGUGGGCAAAUUCGUAAUGUACAGACACUUUGGAAGAAGAUUGAUGUAUUUAACAGCCAGGAACUUGUACAACAGGAUGUCAACACAGGAGCUGCAAUGGACAUUUAUAGGACAUAGCAGUUUUUGGGUCCCUUCAGACCAAGUGGCAACAGAGAUGUCUGGAUGAUGUAGGAGAAAUUUGUAGUUAACUACAUGCUGUAGAUGAAUACUGUACUGAUAUCCAUAACCCAUAAACAAGGAAUGAAGUAGACUGUAUGAAAACACAUACAAUUUCCACAGUUCUUAGAAAGAAAAAAACUGCAAA